ACACGGAAAUAGGUGGCAAUUCUGUUGCCUAUACACACACACACACACACACACACACACACACACACACACACACACACACACACACACAUAUAUAUGGAGACACUUGGCUCUGUCGGUCUUUUUAAUUUUAGCCAUGGUAGUUCUGAAAUCAUAUCGCACUAUGGUUUUAACUGUAUUCUAUUUAUUGAAUUGUAAAAGAUAUAUAUGUAUGUAUAAGAUAUAUAUGCACACACCAUUUCUCUGGAUUCGGUUCCCCCUAGUCUUUGGAUUAAUUUUGCAUUUUCUUUUUUUAUGUAAGUCAGUAUUUAUGUUAUGUAUUUUGAGACACACUCUCCUGUAGUCCAGGCUGGCCUGGAACACAGUAUGUAGCCCAUGGUUGACCUUGAACUUCUGACCGUCCUACUUCUACCUCUGAGGAUUGAGAUUACAGGCAUGCACCCCCAUACCUUUUUUUUUUUUUUUUUUACAUAGUACUGGGCCCAAACCCUCGGGUUUCAUGCAUGCUAGGUAAGCUAUAUCCAAGCUAGGUAAGUUCUAUCCAAGCUAUACACCCAACCCCUGUUCUUCGGAAGGUUAAAGACAAUGUUUAUAUAUGUAUGUAGUAGUUGGGGUGUGUUCUCAUGAGCACUGGUGCCCUAGGAGGCCAGAAGCAGGUGUCAGAGCUGGAGUUACAGGCUGCUAUGCACCUGUGGAUGUGGGUGCCAGGAUCUGAACUCAGGUCUUCUUGCAGUAUGAACUCUAACUACUGAGCUCCCCCACACUGGGUAUUACAACUUUAAAGACAGGGUCUCACUAUGUUGGGCAGACUCUCUUUGAAUUGGACAUCUUCUUGCCUUGGCCCCCUGGGUUGCUGAGAUCACAGUCAUAUGCCACUCUGACUGGCCCAUUUUCUUAAGGAUGUACUUUGAAGAGCAUUUUGAUGGAUUCAUGCCUGUUUUGAAUCUAAUGCAAAUUUAGGGGUUGCAUUUUGUACUACACACAUGCACACGUGUGAGAGGUUGAACCCAGGGCCUCAUGUGCGGCGCUAGGCAGAUGCCCUACCAGUUAGCAGUAUGCUCAGCUCCCACGUGUCUUUUAAAAGUUUUGACAUUUAAUUUUGAGAUAACUAUAAAUCCCUACACAAGUAUCAGAAAUAACUAGUGUGGCCUUUAGCCGGUUUCUUCUCUCAGCGACAUCUUGCAGAAUGUUGUAAGGUGGUUGGUCUAAUGCAGCCAGAGGUUCUCCUCGGCACUGCAGGAAGUCCUAGCUCCUAGCUACCUCUACCUGCUCCCCAAGCCUCCCCCUUCCCUUCAGCCCCAGCAAUCACAGUCUGCUCUGUGGUUCUGGAAGUCUGUCAUUUAACACUGUCACACGCUCUGGGAUGGAAAGUUGUUCUCUGGCCUCCACAUGUGUAAUAUGAUACCUGUGUGUAGACACACACACAUAUACAAGCAUACAUAUGCGUGCAUAGCACACCACAUAAAUAAGUGGAGGAUUUUAAGAAGGGAGGGGGCUAGAGAGAUGGCUUCACACUUAAGAGCACUUGCUGCUCUUGCAGAGGACCGGAGUUUGGUUCCCAGCAUCCACCUUGAGCAGCUCACAACUGUCUCUAACUAUGAUGUGUUCUUUUAGUUUCUGUGAAUAUAUCAUGCAUGGCACACAUACACAUAAAAAUAAAUACAUUCUCUCCCCCCUCCUCUCUUUUGAGACAGGGUUUCUCUGUGUAGCCCUGGCUGUCCUGGAAUUCACUCUGGGACAAGGCUGGCCUCUAAUCAGAGAUCCACCUGCCUCUGCCUCCCAAGUGCUGGGAUUAAAGGUGUGCGCCAUGUCACGUCACUCUUGCUCAAAUAAAAUAUAUUCUUUUUUUUUUAAAGAUUCACUUAUUUAUUAUAUGUAAGUACACUGUAGCUGUCUUUAGACAACCCAGAAGAGGGAGUCAGAUCUUGUUACGAUGGUUGUCAGCCACCAUGUGGUUGCUGGGAUUUGAACUCCGAACCUUCGGAAGAGCAGUCAGGUGCUCUUACCCACUGAGCCAUCUCACCAGCCCCAAAAUAUAUUCUUAAAAAAGGCAAUCUCAAGUAUUAAAUGGAGUUGAAAAAUAGGUAAGCUUUGAGGACCUUCCUUCAGCACUUAGUGUGAUUUUUAAAUUAUUUUAUGUAUGUGAGUACACUGUCGCUGUCUUCAGACACACCAGAAGCGGGCAUCGGAUCCCAUUACAGAUGGUUGUGAGCCACUAUGUUGUUGCUGGGAAUUGAACUCAGGACCUCUGGAAUAGCAGUCAGUGAGUGCUUUUAACUGCUGAGCCAUCUCUCCAGUCCUGCUUAGUGUACUUUUUUUCCCAUUUCAAGUGGCUGCAUGUGUGAACAGCUUGUUCCUUCUGGCCUCAGAGUUGUGACUCCAUGGAUGGCUGGAACACCACUUGUUCUGCCGUUCACUUCUUGGAGGAUGUCUGGGUUGUGUACAACUUGCAGUUCCUGUGAAUAAAGUUGCUGUGAGCAUCUGUUU
rnacentral:lncRNA from 1 species